GCCGGGAUAGCUCAGCUGGGAGAGCAACAGACUGAAGUUGUGUGACUAGGGCUUCUGGAGGUCGCGUGUUCAAUCCACGCUCCUGGCA
rnacentral:tRNA from 1 species